GCGGCGGACGGGUGAGUAACACGUGGGCAACCUGCCUGUAAGACUGGGAUAACUUCGGGAAACCGAAGCUAAUACCGGAUAGGAUCUUCUCCUUCAUGGGAGAUGAUUGAAAGAUGGUUUCGGCUAUCACUUACAGAUGGGCCCGCGGUGCAUUAGCUAGUUGGUGAGGUAACGGCUCACCAAGGCAACGAUGCAUAGCCGACCUGAGAGGGUGAUCGGCCACACUGGGACUGAGACACGGCCCAGACUCCUACGGGAGGCAGCAGUAGGGAAUCUUCCGCAAUGGACGAAAGUCUGACGGAGCAACGCCGCGUGAGUGAUGAAGGCUUUCGGGUCGUAAAACUCUGUUGUUAGGGAAGAACAAGUACGAGAGUAACUGCUCGUACCUUGACGGUACCUAACCAGAAAGCCACGGCUAACUACGUGCCAGCAGCCGCGGUAAUACGUAGGUGGCAAGCGUUAUCCGGAAUUAUUGGGCGUAAAGCGCGCGCAGGCGGUUUCUUAAGUCUGAUGUGAAAGCCCACGGCUCACCCGUGGAGGGUCAUUGGAAACUGGGGAACUUGAGUGCAGAGAGAAAGCGG
rnacentral:rRNA from 2 species